GCGUAGGGUACGUAGGCUGCAAGAAACAGUGUAAAUUAAAUACUGGGUUGCAAUCCUUUGUGUUUACUCGAUGAUCUUGCUUGAAUCAUAGAAGGACAAUGGUAUUUAUUAGGAGUGAUUAAAUACUAGAUAAAUCAAGGACCGACAGUGGUGAAAGCAAUUUUCCAGUCAUGCAUUGAGCUAAGGUACGAAAGCAGGGGAGCAAAGCGGAUUAGACACCCGCGUAGUCCGUGUGUCAACGCUGAGUUUUCAAUAUAGAGCUAGAAAUAAUCAAAUCAAGUUAAAAAAAUGAAAAUUUGAGACAGGGUUGGAACCGUAAAAGGUCUGUAAUCAUAAUCUGGUGUUCUAGCUAACGCAUUAAAUGCUCCGCCUGGGAAGUACGGCCGCAAGGUUGAAACUCAAAAGAAUUGACGGUGACUUGUACGAGG
rnacentral:rRNA from 1 species